rnacentral:rRNA from 1 species
UACGAGGGGGGCGAGCGUUUGUUCGGAAUUAUUGGGCGUAAAGGGUGCGUAGGCGGUUUGGUAAGUCUGAUGUGAAAUCUAUGGGCUCAACUCAUAGUCUGCAUCGGAAACUGCCGGGCUUGAGUGUGGGAGAGGUGAGUGGAAUUCCUGGUGUAGCGGUGAAAUGCGUAGAUAUCAGGAGGAACACCUGUGGCGAAAGCGGCUCACUGGACCAUAACUGACGCUGAUGCACGAAAGCUAGGGGAGCAAACAGG